rnacentral:misc_RNA from 1 species
UGCGGCGGUCUCCCAAGCACGCACCCGCACUCGCAGUCACACCGCCUCAUGGCGACCGACGACGGCGAGGGCCAGCAGCCGGUGGUGCUCAUCACGGGGUGCGCCAAGGGCGGGAUCGGGUACGAGUACUGCCAGGCCUUCGCGGGCCUCGGCUGCCGCGUGGUGGCCACCGACAUCCCCGACCAAGUCCCCGGCCUUGCCGCCGACCUCGCGGGCACGCCGGCCGCGGAGGCGCUCCCGCUCGACGUGACCUCGGACGCCAGCGUGGGCGCCGCCGUCAGCGACGUGCUGGCGCGGCACGGCCGCCUGGACGUGCUGCUCAACAACGCCGGCGUCGGCUGCACGGGCCCGCUCGCGGAGCUGGCCCCCGCCGCCGUGUCGCGCGCGCUCGACGUCAACUUCCUGGGCCAGGUCCGCACCGUGCGCGCUGUGGCGCCCCACAUGGCGGCGCGCGGGUCCGGCCGCAUCGUCAAUGUCGGCAGCGUCGUGGGCAACGCCGCCACGCCCUGGGCCGCGCCCUACUGCGCGUCCAAGGCCGCCGUGCACGCCGCCACCGACGCGCUCCGCCUCGAGCUCCGCCCCUUCGGGGUGCACGUCGUCAAGGUCGUGCCGGGGGCCGUCAGGUCGGGGCUGGGACGCGCCAACGCCGCGCACCUCGCCUCCCACCAGGAGUGGCGCAUGUACCGGGACUUCGCACCGGCCAUCGAGGAGCGCGCGAGGGCGUCGCAGACGGGGAAGGCCACGGACGCUGCCGUCUUCGCCAGGCACGUGGCGCGCCGGGUCAUGAGCGCGCGGCCGCCCAGGGAGAUCGUCUACGGCAACAUGACGCUGCUGUUCGCCGCGCUCGCCGUGUCGCCUGCGUGGGUGCGCGACGCCUUCUUUGCCAACCGCUUCGGGCUCAACAAGAAGCAGCGCUAGUUCAUCACAUCACUAGCACGUGUUCUUCUUGCGUUGGCCGAUCCAGUUCUCCACUCCGCCGAAUAACCGACGAGUCACCCACACCCGGCCACCCUGCAUCUUCAUCAUCUUCUUUUCUUUUCAUUUGAUAUGAAGUAAGCAACCAAAGCAUGAAUCUUCUUUUACUACUAGCACCUGUCUGUCAACGAAAAAACGCUUAAAACAUCAGCAUUCGUUAACAAUUGUGCUGUUCUUUCAAUGAUUUUAUUUCUUUAUUCUUAACUUUUUUUAUAAUAUUCUCCCUUUUAAUUAAGAACACAUAUUACUGUCCUCAAUUCCGACAUUUGUUCGCAUAAUUCAUAAGAGC